GACGAACGCUGGCGGCGUGCUUAACACAUGCAAGUCGUACGGUAAGGCCCUUUCGGGGGUACACAAGUGGCGAACGGGUGAGUAACACGUGAGUAACCUGCCCACAACUUUGGGAUAACGCUAGGAAACUGGUGCUAAUACUGGAUAUGUGUCCCUGCUGCAUGGUGGGGGUUGGAAAGCUCCGGCGGUUGUGGAUGGACUCGCGGCCUAUCAGCUUGUUGGUGGGGUAGUGGCCUACCAAGGCGGCGACGGGUAGCCGGCCUGAGAGGGUGACCGGCCACAUUGGGACUGAGAUACGGCCCAGACUCCUACGGGAGGCAGCAGUGGGGAAUAUUGCACAAGGGGCGCAAGCCUGAUGCAGCAACGCCGCGUGCGGGAUGACGGCCUUCGGGUUGUAAACCGCGUUCAGCAGGGACGAAGCUUUUUGUGACGGUACCUGCAGAAGAAGCACCGGCUAACUACGUG
rnacentral:rRNA from 1 species